ensembl:snRNA U6 U6 spliceosomal RNA
GGCAGCACAUAUACUUAAAAAAAAAAUUGGAAUGAUAUAGAGAAGAUUAGUGCGGCCCCAGUACAAGGGUAACGCACCAAUUCAUGAAGCAUUCAUAAAAUACUUUU